ensembl:lncRNA
CCCAAAUUCAGUAUCUCAGAAGAUUAGAAUAUUACUUAAGACCAAUACAAAGAAAGGAUUUUUAUAAAUCUUGGCCAACUGAAAAGUAUGAACAUGAAAAAUAUGAGCAUGUACAGCACUCAAUACUUAGUUGGGGCUCCUUUUGCCUGAAUUACUGCAGCAAUGCGGCGUGGGAUUGAGUCUGUGGCACUGCUCAGGUGUUAUGAGAGCCCAGGUUGCUCUGAUAAUGGCCUUCAGCUCUUCUGCAUUCUUGGGUCUGGCAUAUCGCAUCUUCCUCUUCACAAUACCCCAUAGAUUUUCUAUGGGGUUAAGGUCAGGCGAGUUUGAUGGCAAAUUAAGAACAGGGAUACCAUGGUCCUUAAACCAGGUACUGGUAGCUUUGGCACUGUGUGCAGGUGCCAAGUCCUGUUGGAAAAUGAAAUCUGCAUCUCCAUAAAGUUGGUCAGCAGCAGGAAGCAUGAAGUGCUCUAAAACUUCCUGGUAUACGGCUGCGUUGACCUUGGACCUCAGAAAACACAGUGGACCAACACCAGCAGAUGACAUGGCACCCCAAACCAUCACUGACUGUGGAAACUUUACACUGGACCUCAAGCAACGUGGAUUAUGUGCCUCUUCUCUCUUCCUCCAGACUCUGGGUCCCUGAUUUCCAAAGGAAAUGCAAAAUUUACUUUAAUCAGAGAACAUAACUUUGGACCACUCAGCAGCAGUCCAGUCCUUUUUGUCUUUAGCCCAGGCAAGACGCUUCUGACGCUGGCUGUUGUUCAAGAGUGGCUUGACACAAGGAAUGCGACAGCUGAAACCCAUGUCUUGCAUAUGUCUGUGCGUAGUGGUUCUUGAAGCACUGACUCCAGCUGCAGUCCACUCUUUGUGAAUCUCCCCUACAUUUUGAUUGUGUUUUGUUUCAUAAUCCUCUCCAGGGUGCAGUUAUCCCUAUUGCUUGUACACUUUUUUCUACCACAUCUUUUCCUUCCCUUCGCCUCUCUAUUUAUGUGCUUGGACACAGAGCUCUGUGAACAGCCAGCCUCUUUUGCAAUGACCUUUUGUGUCUUGCCCUCCUUGUGCAAGGUGUCAAUGGUCGUCUUUUAGACAACUGUCAAGUCAGCAGUCUUCCCCGUGAUUGUGUAGCCUACAGAACUAGACUGAGAGACCAUUUAAAGGCCUUUGCAGGUGAUUCACCUUCACUGCGCAGCAUGGGCGGAGUCUCGUACCUGUGCUCGUGAGUGCUGUCCGCCAUGUUUGUGUGGUUUCGAUGUAAAGAAAACAAUGGAUUAUUUACCAAGAGAUAUGGAUGUAUGGAGUCAUUUCGACAAAACACUUCUGAGAAAACUGACGAGCAACACUACAGUCCGGCAAACAAACAUAUGAGGAAGAGGAGGAUGAUGGCGGUCCAGCAUUUACAAAGAGAAAGUAACUGCGGGGAAUAUUAACUGAAGAGACCUUAUCAACAGCAGGCUUUGGAUCUACUGAAUAUGUAUUUUUCAAGCAUUUUAUUGCAGGGUUCACUGUUAUUUUUUUGCAUAGCGAUGACUGAACUCAAACGAAGAUACUUUGAAGAAUGCUGGUAAUCAAACCCAACAAGUUUGUCAGGUGCAGAAAUGAAAGCUCCCAAACAAAGAUGUCACUGGAUUAAGAAGUGGAAAGACAUGUUACACCACUGCAACCAUAAAUCCUGAGCGAUUUGAAAGGGGGCAACAACCAUGAAAAAGUAUGCAUUGUUUGACUCAAAAAUGAUUCAUGGUAAUAGUUGUAAAUGAUUAGAUAAAGUACAAAAUGUGUUUAAUUUUAAAACUCUGCCAUUUACAGUACUAAUGUGUUGUUCAAAUACUAAGUUUUGGUGUCUCUUUACAAUAAGGUAUAUCUUUAGUUAACAUUAGUAAAUGUUGAAAUUUACAUUAAAUAACAAUGAGCAAUACAUUUGUUACAAUAUACAUUACUAUUUCAUGCUGUUAAAAAACAACAACUGUUCUUUGUUAGUUCAUGUUAGCUCUGAUCCAUUAAAUAAUGUCAACAGGCACACUUUUGUUCUUAAUGUAUUAGUAAAUGUUGAAAAUAACUAGGUUAAUAUAUUAACUACAGUUAACUAAGGUUAAUGUUAAGUAUUUGGCAUGUUAGUCCAUGUUGGGUAGGUAACUAAUGUUAACAAAUGAAACCUUAUUGUAAAUUGUAAAGUGUCACCUGAGUGUUUUUUGUUUAUACUUGUUAAAUUUUAGUUUUCAAGAAUAAAUAACCUAAAUGUAAGGGUAAUUUCGCUAAAUGUUAUGCUUUAUAUAUAUAUAUAUAUA